rnacentral:rRNA from 1 species
UUUUAUGAGAGUUUGAUCCUGGCUCAGGACGAACGCUGGCGGCGUGCCUAAUACAUGCAAGUCGAACGCUUCUUUUUCCACCGGAGCUUGCUCCACCGGAAAAAGAGGAGUGGCGAACGGGUGAGUAACACGUGGGUAACCUGCCCAUCAGAAGGGGAUAACACUUGGAAACAGGUGCUAAUACCGUAUAACAAUCGAAACCGCAUGGUUUUGAUUUGAAAGGCGCUUUCGGGUGUCGCUGAUGGAUGGACCCGCGGUGCAUUAGCU